rnacentral:rRNA from 1 species
UACGAAGGGGGCUAGCGUUGCUCGGAAUUACUGGGCGUAAAGCGCGCGUAGGCGGGUCGUUAAGUCGGGGGUGAAAGCCCGGGGCUCAACUCCGGAAUUGCCUUUAAGACUGCAUCGCUAAAAUUGUGGAGAGGUAAGUGGAAUUCCGAGUGUAGAGGUGAAAUUCGUAGAUAUUACGGAAGAACACCAGUGGCGAGGCGACUUACUGGACACAUAUUGACGCUGAGGUGCGAAAGCGUGGGGAGCAAACAGG